AGAGGCAGGGGAAUCUCUAUGAGUUCGAGGCCAGCCUGGUCUACAGAAUGAGUUCUAGGACAGCCAGGACCACACAGAGAAACCCUGUCUCGAGAA
ensembl:miRNA Gm22655 predicted gene, 22655